rnacentral:rRNA from 1 species
AGAGUUUUAUCCUGGCUCAGGAUGAACGCUAGCGACAGGCUUAACACAUGCAAGUCGAGGGGCAGCGGGGGUGAAGGCUUGCCUUCACCUGCCGGCGACCGGCGCACGGGUGAGUAACACGUAUGCAACCUGCCCGUGACAGUGGGAUAAUCCGGAGAAAGCCGGUCUAAUACCGCAUGAUCCCCUGUGGAGACAUCUCCACGGGGGCAAAGGAAGUGAUUCCGGUCACGGAUGGGCAUGCGUCGCAUUAGCUGGUUGGCGGGGUAACGGCCCACCAAGGCGACGAUGCGUAGGGGUUCUGAGAGGAAGGUCCCCCACACUGGUACUGAGACACGGACCAGACUCCUACGGGAGGCAGCAGUGAGGAAUAUUGGUCAAUGGGCGCGAGCCUGAACCAGCCAAGUCGCGUGAGGGAAGACGGUCCUAUGGAUUGUAAACCUCUUUUGCCGGGGAGCAAAAGGAGCCACGUGUGGCUCAUCGAGAGUACCCGGAGAAAAAGCAUCGGCUAACUCCGUGCCAGCAGCCGCGGUAAUACGGAGGAUGCGAGCGUUACCCGGAUUUAUUGGGUUUAAAGGGUGCGUAGGCGGGACCUUAAGUCAGCGGUUAAAUUAGCAGGGUUGACCCUCGUUCCGCCGAUAGAACAGGGGGUCCUAGAGUGGGCGAGAAGAACGCAAAAUGCGUGGUGUAGCGGUGAAAAGCAUAGAUUAUCACGCAGAAACUCCGGAUUGGGAAGGCAGCGUACCGGGCGCCCUACUGACGCUGAAGCACGAAAGCGUGGGUAUCGAACAGGAUUAGAUACCCUGGUAGUCCACGCAGUAAACGAUGAAUGCUAAUUGUGUGCCCCGAUUGAGGGGUGCGUGAUAAAGCGAAAGCGUUAAGCAUUCCACCUGGGGAGUACGCCGGCAACGGUGAAACUCAAAGGAAUUGACGGGGGCCCGCACAAGCGGAGGAACAUGUGGUUUAAUUCGAUGAUACGCGAGGAACCUUACCCGGGCUCAAACGCAGGAGGGAUGUUUUUGAAAGGAGGCAGCUCUUCGGAGCCUCCUGCGAGGUGCUGCAUGGUUGUCGUCAGCUCGUGCCGUGAGGUGUCGGCUUAAGUGCCAUAACGAGCGCAACCCCCACCGACAGUUGCCAUCAGGUCAGGCUGGGCACUCUGUCGGGACUGCCGGCGCAAGCUGUGAGGAAGGCGGGGAUGACGUCAAAUCAGCACGGCCCUUACGUCCGGGGCGACACACGUGUUACAAUGGCAGGCACAGCGGGAAGCCACCUGGCGACAGGGAGCGGAACCCGAAAUCCUGUCCCAGUUCGGAUUGGAGUCUGCAACCCGACUCCAUGAAGCUGGAUUCGCUAGUAAUCGCGCAUCAGCCACGGCGCGGUGAAUACGUAACCGGGCCUUGCACACACCGCCCGUCA